rnacentral:tRNA from 1 species
AAUGAAAUGGCUGAUAAAAGUAAUAAAUUGUAAAUUUAUAAAUGAUUAAAAAUCUUUCAUUA